AUCCAGCUGAUGAGUUCCAGACAGAACGAAACUCACAUCCUGGAU
rnacentral:hammerhead_ribozyme from 1 species